GCUGGCGGUGCGCCUUAUGCAUGCAAGUUGAGCGAAGCUUUUUGGUAGUUUACUACUAGAAAUGACUGAGCGGCGAACGGGUGAGUAACGCGUGAGCAAUCUACCUUAGUUACUGGGAUAGCCCGAGGAAACUCGGAUUAAUACCGGAUAUUCUUAUUUUUUCACAUGAAGUUUUAAGGAAAGGUCAGCCGAACUAAGAUGAGCUCGCGUUCUAUCAGCUAGUUGGUGGGGUAAAAGCCUACCAAGGCUACGACGGAUAGCUGGUCUGAGAGGACGAUCAGCCACACUGGGACUGAGACACGGCCCAGACUCCUACGGGAGGCUGCAGCAGGGAAUAUUGUGCAAUGAGCGAAAGCUUGACACAGCGACACCGCGUGUGGGAUGACGGUUCUAGGAUUGUAAACCACUUUCAGGAGGGAAGAAAAUGACGGUACCUCCACAAGAAGACCC
rnacentral:rRNA from 1 species